ACUUAAUAACAAAGUAAAGCAAUAAAUGAAUCUCGAAAAAAGGAAACCUAUUGUCUACCUUAGUCAAAUUCAAACAGGCUAGACUCCAUAAACUUUAUCGACUUUUCAUUUCAAAUGUCCCGUCUAUUCUGAUGAUAGCAUUUUCCAAAGAAUUUUCUUUACUUGCUAUCUGUUGUUGCCUUAUUUCCUCUCAAAGACACCUUAAUCUGGGCUCCUUGACCAUUGCCCUUCCGGAGCAGUUACAUUGUGAUUCGGCGCUUCUCUCACCAGACGGAGAUGAGACGUUGUUGUGAAAGGUCGUCUUUGGUGCUAGAAAUUCACCCAUCAGACUCCAAACCACCAAACCCAAUGCCGAUUUGGAAUUUCUUUUCUCAAACAUUGCAUUAAACUGAAUCAUUAUCCUCGGUGUGUCCUCUCUAUGUUUUUGGUUUUUAUCCAUAUUUAAGAUUGACCAUAAGGCAUAGCAAAAAAAUCGACACUGUUUAUCGGUACCUCUCUUGAAAACCCAGGGCAUUGCCAAAAGACAUGGUGACAAUCUUCUUCCCAGGAGUAGCAACGGGGAUAUUUGGUGCUUGUAAUAACUCUUCUUGGCAUUUGUAAUAACUCUUCUAUGUCUAAUGUUUACUAGAUUAGGAAUAUAGUUCCAGGAAAUUUGCCAAAUUGUGAUUGUAAUUUUUUAUGGUAGUUGUAGAUACUAUAGUUUCCUGUAGAAUUCUUUGAUUUCGGCCUGUAUUAAACAACUAUUAGGAUCAGGGUUAGCAUCUUGUAAUAGUUUAUAGGCGCUUCGUACUGAGUAUUCACCGGACAGUUCUCCUUUCCAAACUUGAAUGUCUUCAUGAUCUGUUUCCGCAAGAGGGAUCUGCAAGAUUUUCUGAGCAAUUUCCACUUGAAAGAGAUUUCAUUUUGAAGAAGACCUUUUGCUGCCCAAACACUCUUCCAGGUAAAUGAAGGUAGAUUUCCUAACUGUGUAUUUAGAAUAAUUCAAAUGCGGAUAAUACUUUACUUUUAAUACCCUGGCCAAUAAAGAAUUUGGAUAAUUAAUAAGACAUCAGCCUUGUUUGGCUAAUAACGCAAUAUUGAAUUGACUAAAUUUUUGAAACCCUAAACCACCAUUUUCUUUUAUGAAACAAAGGUUCCUCCAAGCACACCAAUGAAUUCCCUUUUUUACAUGUCCCUUUUGCCACCAAAACUUUGCAAUAAUACUUUCAAGGUCAUCACAUAGUGAUUUAGGUAAUAAGAAGCAAGCCAUCAUGUAAGUUGGUACGGAUUGAAGAAUGGCUUUUAUAAAUACUUAUUUCCUGCCCUGAGAUAGGUACCUAAUCGGUCCUUCAAAUUUUUAAAAGAUUCAUUUUUUCUUCUACCAACCAUAUUCGGCAAACCUAGGUACUGUUCUAGAUCACUAGAACUGCGUGCCUCCAGUAUGUUGACAACCAACCUUGUAUAUUUCUCUGAUGUGUUUUUACUAAAGAAUACAGUUAAUUUAUCAAAAUUUACAUACUGACCCAAACAAGAUCUAUAUUCGCAUAGGAUAUCUUUGAGUAAAUUUGCUCACCUAUUUGUUGCCUACCCAAAUAAAAUGCAGUCAUCUGCAAAUAGUAGGUGCGAUAUCUGUGGGUCACUUCUGCUAACAUUAAUUCCUUUUAAGAGCCCUGCCUUUGUUGCUAAUCUCAUCAGGCUCGAUAAACCCUCUACAUAUAAUAGAAAUAAAAAUGGGCUUAAGGGGUCACCUUGUCAAAGUCCUCAGGUCGAAUGAAACUUUACUACAACAUUACCAUUAAUUGCCUAGUUAAAACUUUUGAGACCAUAAAUUUGAAACAGAAAUACAUAUUUUAUGAUUCUUAUGAGGUCUAUGAUAUGAAUGCAUGCUUAUGGGAAAGUUUUAAAAUGAAAUUCUAUGCAUAAAAUGUCUAAUUGAAUUUUAAGGACCAAAUCGAAUAAGAUGAAAAACUUGAAUUCUAGAAGAUUUUAGCAUGAAAUUGUUUUAAAUUAUGAAUUAGACUGUCCUAAUUAGCAAUUUGAUUAAUUUUUAAAAGUUUGGACAAAAAUUGACGUGUAUAAGAAAAUUUUGAAAGAAAAGAAUCAGGGUAUUUUGGUUAUUUGGUAAAUAAAAGAAUAAAAAGGGAAAAUAAGUCAAAAUUGGUGUCCAUCUUUUUCUCUCAUUGUCGAAAAUUGCAAGACACCAUAGUUAGGGCUUUGUUCAACAUUUCAAGCUUGAUUGUAAGUCAAUGCUUGUCCUGUUUCUAAUAUUCUUUGUAUUUUUGAAAUGUUUGAAAUAUGAUCUAUCUAUUUCUAGCUAUAUUUGAGUUAGGGUUUAAGUAUGAAAUUUGACCCAUGUGUGACAUGCAUGUAUUUUGUUGAUUAAUGGAGGAAUAUGAAUGUUUGAUGCAUGAUAAACAUCUUUUACUAAGUGAUUUUUAGUGUAAAAAGGGGACUUGUUUGUAAAGUGUAAAAGUGGGUUGUAAUAAUGUGUAAUAAAGGAAAAUAUGGGCUGAUAUUAGCUUAGUAAAGGUUUGGCUAGGCUUGGGUAACCAAUAAAAUACUUGUAUUUCAUUUUACGAUCUUAGGGAUUAAAUCGUAAAUAAGUGGAAAGAUAAGGAUAAAAAGAUAAUUUUAUUAAAGUAUGAAUUAUGGAUCGAUUUGAGUAAUGUGAUUAAUAAACAAGUUAAAUUUGGCAUUAUAUAUUAAGAAAAGUGUGAAUCGGGUCUUGAUCGAGGGAAGGAUAAUGUGCAAUAGAGGUGAUAAUUAUACACAUUAAUAAAGUAUACGAUGAUUAGGUUCGAUUAUCAUUAUUUUUGUACCGAGGUAAGUACAUGUGUAAAUAAUGCGACAAUGUGGUAUGUUAUGUUGUGUUAACAGUAUGUGAUAAUUAUUUUAUUGUUUAUUAUGUAUGCUAUGUCUAAUGGUACUAUUGUAAGCAUGAAUUAUAUUAUGGUCGCUAUCCACAACGUCACGAGUAAGUGCAAUAGAUGUGCAAUGUGCAAGUGAGAAAAACCCCAUUUGAACAUCAAGAAUAGUUUAGGAUACAAGUGAAUUGUUACUAGGAAUUAAGAAGUUCGAACUCGUUGAAUGGUCUGGAUUCGUGUUAUAUGUGGCAUUUGAACUCGUUGAGUGGUCCGAGUUCAUAAUGGAUGCGAUAUAUGUGAUUGACUUCCGGGCAAUGGUCUUGUGUGUCCUAUAGGUGGCUAGGUAAUCCUUGAGUGGUAAGAUACCUGACAGUUUUUGUGAGCAACCUGUGCAGUUAAACUUUGAUUGAUAGCUUAUACGAGCAAGCCCGUGAGUAGCUCCAUUGCAAGCGUUGCAUGAUAUGAGGUAGUUUCAGUUACGUACGUUUAUGUGGUACUUAUAGUAUUCUGAGUGUUCAACGGGUAUUAUAAUGGAUGAUGCAAUGAAAUUCCCAAGAUGGGCAUGGUAAUGAAGGUAAAGUUAUUUGAUAUGCUACGGGUAUGUACAAGUGCGUACGUUAUACUCAUGAUUGAUGCCUUGUUAAAGGAUGAUAUGUGACGAGAAAGUACAUUUAUAUAUAUAUAUGAAUACUUGAUAAAUGAGCUAGAAUGCUUGUGUAAUAUCUCGAAAUAUUUUUUUACAGUAAGAUAUUAUUCUUGAUAUAGUAAAAUAAGAAAAUAAAGUUAGAGAAA